AGAGUUUGAUCAUGGCUCAGGACGAACGCUGGCGGCGUGCCUAAUACAUGCAAGUCGAACGCUGCUUAAGAAGAAACUUCGGUUUCUUUUUAAGCGGAGUGGCGGACGGGUGAGUAACACGUGGGGAACCUAUCCAUCAGCGGGGGAUAACACUUGGAAACAGGUGCUAAUACCGCAUACGGCUUUCUUUCGCCUGAAAGAAAGCUCAAAGGCGCUUUACAGCGUCACUGAUGGCUGGUCCCGCGGUGCAUUAGCCAGUUGGUGAGGUAACGGCUCACCAAAGCAACGAUGCAUAGCCGACCUGAGAGGGUGAUCGGCCACACUGGGACUGAGACACGGCCCAGACUCCUACGGGAGGCAGCAGUAGGGAAUCUUCGGCAAUGGACGCAAGUCUGACCGAGCAACGCCGCGUGAGUGAAGAAGGUUUUCGGAUCGUAAAGCUCUGUUGUCAGCAAAGAACAGGGAAAAGAGGAAAUGCUUUUCCCCUGACGGUAGCUGACCAGAAAGCCACGGCUAACUACGUGCCAGCAGCCGCGGUAAUACGUAGGUGGCAAGCGUUGUCCGGAUUUAUUGGGCGUAAAGCGAGCGCAGGCGGUGAUUUAAGUCUGAUGUGAAAGCCCCCAGCUCAACUGGGGAGGGUCAUUGGAAACUGGAUCACUUGAGUGCAGAAGAGGAGAGUGGAAUUCCAUGUGUAGCGGUGAAAUGCGUAGAUAUAUGGAGGAACACCAGUGGCGAAGGCGGCUCUCUGGUCUGUAACUGACGCUGAGGCUCGAAAGCGUGGGUAGCAAACAGGAUUAGAUACCCUGGUAGUCC
rnacentral:rRNA from 1 species